CAGCCGCCGCGGUAAUACGAAGGGGGCUAGCGUUGUUCGGAAUUACUGGGCGUAAAGCGCACGUAGGCGGAUAUUUAAGUCAGGGGUGAAAUCCCAGAGCUCAACUCUGGAACUGCCUUUGAUACUGGGUAUCUUGAGUAUGGAAGAGGUGAGUGGAACUGCGAGUGUAGAGGUGAAAUUCGUAGAUAUUCGCAAGAACACCAGUGGCGAAGGCGGCUCACUGGCCCGAUACUGACGCUGAGGCACGAAAGCGUGGGGAGCAAACAGGAUUAGAUACCCCCGUAGUCCCUGUCUCUUAUAC
rnacentral:rRNA from 1 species